rnacentral:rRNA from 1 species
GUAGGGUGCGAGCGUUGUCCGGAAUUACUGGGCGUAAAGAGCUCGUAGGUGGUUUGUCGCGUCGUGUGUGAAAUUCCGGGGCUUAACUUCGGGGUUGCAUACGAUACGGGCAAACUUGAGUGCUGUAGGGGAGACUGGAAUUCCUGGUGUAGCGGUGAAAUGCGCAGAUAUCAGGAGGAACACCGAUGGCGAAGGCAGGUCUCUGGGCAGUAACUGACGCUGAGGAGCGAAAGCAUGGGGAGCGAACAGGAUUAGAUACCCUGGUAGUCCAUGCCGUAAACGGUGGGCGCUAGGUGUGAGGCCCUUCCACGGGUUUCGUGCCGUAGCUAACGCAUUAAGCGCCCCGCCUGGGGAGU